rnacentral:rRNA from 1 species
GACGAAGGGGGCUAGCGUUGUUCGGAAUUACUGGGCGUAAAGCGCGUGUAGGCGGUUGUUCAAGUCAGGUGUGAAAGCCUUGAGCUCAACUCAAGAAAUGCACUUGAUACUGGAUGACUAGAGGACCGGAGAGGAUAGUGGAAUUCCCAGUGUAGUGGUGAAAUACGUAGAGAUUGGGAAGAACACCAGUGGCGUAGGCGGCUAUCUGGACGGUUUCUGACGCUAAGACGCGAAAGCGUGGGGAGCAAACAGG